CGCCCCAAUGACAACAGGUACCCUAUUUGUAAGUAAUACAAAAUUGUUGUCUUCAAGUGUCAUACUAAUAAUUAAUGACUUUUUUGAGCUAAAUAUCAUACCAGUUUUUUCUGUGGUUUCGGAAACCAAACUUCUCAGAAUAGCCACAUUUAUUGAUAAGACUUGUUGGUCUCUUGAUACGAUAAGAAAAGAAGCUCGAAUAAAGCUCGAGCGAAAAUGUCGAGCCACAAAUAUUAGUAUAUCCUGCAUUUUGCUGCUUCUUUCCGUUGCAGUGUUUAGCAAUUUUCCGUGUUUUGGAAAGCAGGAUGACUUUUUCCUUUGCAUAAAAAUUUUUGAGGAAUACUUUGGUCAAUGGUCAUCCAUUCCUAACUACAUUUACUUCACACUAUUUCCAAUUUUAUGUUACUCUUACUUUAGAAUCGUUUUCUCGUUUGUUUACGCCAUUUUAGAGACACAGUUACAAUUCUCCCUCAUUGAAGAAUAUUUGUUUGAAGUAUAUCAGAUGGAUGACUUGAAUUGGAAGUACUUACAAGACCCUCGAUAUCAACAAGAAAUCGGGAAGUCGUUGCAACUUUGUAUUGAACACCACACUGCUUUGAAAAAAUUAAUCCACUCGAUUAUGAAUGUUACGCUCACUGCAAUUCCGUUUUUUCUGCCUUUUGUGAUUCUUCUUUUCGUUAGUUGCUUCCUAUUCUUCAUAAAUUUUGGGGACACCAUGACCAUCAUUUUAAAAAUACGAUUACUUUUUUAUGUUGGAGCUAUCCUUAGCAUGACUUUACUGAUGUGUUGGUAUGGCCAACAAGUGAUAAAUGUGACAAAUAGUAUUUUUUUCACCCUAGUCGGAGCUCCGUUUUACUUUUGGAAUCUUAAUAAUAUGAAAAUUCUUUUGAUGUUUAUAAUGAAUUGUACCAAAAACGAGAGUAUAGUUUUGACCGGGAUUUAUGUAGAUUAUACACUGGCUGUGUCUGUCUUGCGCAUCUCCGUCUCCUAUACUCUAAGUUUGUUAGGACUUCGAAAUCGUAGUUUUGAUUGAAACCAAGAACUUCUCUUAAAAUGUUAUUUUAUUUUUUGUUUACUGUAAUCACUUAAUUUACUCUAUUUUUGAGUAAAACGCUCGAAUUAGUAAUGUAACCCAUCAAGUUAAAUAAUCUAUACUUCUUAUACAUGCUGGUCUAGCCCAGCUCCCGUCUUCUGUAGUUCAGUUAUUAUUAAAGUAGGAGUUUUGAUAUUUUGAAGAUGUUGUUUAUACUCUAGGACACAUUUUAGCAAAAUAUUUUUGAUUAAACAGACAGGCUCAAAACGCCGUAAGGUAUAACGCCGUAAUAAUCAAUUUUUUGAAUGGUGUGCUAUUAUUUAUUUUUUGUGCUCAUUGUACCUUUUUAGAUCGGUUCAGGGAUUACUGUUAAAAAAAAUAAAAACAAAAAAAAUCGAUUUUACACCUUUAGUUUUAAGAAUCAUUAAAAAAUAGAAACAGUGCUUUUUUGACGGCUUUAGUACUACGUAAGUGUUGAAGUGUUUAUUAAGUGAGUUUGAUUGAUUUGAAUUAGAACAGG